rnacentral:lncRNA from 1 species
AAUUAUCAUCUUCAUUACAAUUAUUUCAAAUAUCUUGUACCAAGUUUCAAAAAUCAAUCUAACAACUUUUCAAAUCUAAUAACAAGACAUGAAUGCCGUCAAGGUUAAUUUUCAUCAAAUUUUUAUAGUCUAAAAACUGAAAAAAAGAUUACACUUAACACAGCAGUUGCUUAAUCUCCCUAGCCAAAAUCAAGAAAGCAUGUUCCACAUUAAUUGCAUCUUUUGCACUUGUCGCAAGGAAUGGAAUCUCUCAUCUGCAAAUGCCUGUAAGUCCAAUCCAGUGCAAAAACUUAAUACAUUAAAUACAAAGAAAGAUCUACAAAUCACAUAAAUCAUAAGAGAUUAACUAGCAUAUCUGUAGGGAGCAAACUCACCAAUUAUACAACCACAAGUUUUAUUACACCUACAUACAUCCCUUAAUGUUCUUUCUUUCUCUCCAGAAUAGAUGAAACUUGAUAGAAUAUUGGGCCAAUCUCUACAUGUCAAAGAAAGAACUUAUAGAAUAUAUACUCCUCGUAGGAAGAUUAGCCAGACUUCAGAAUGCAAGGAAACAACACACUCUCUCCAGUUACAUAUAAAAAUUAGCCUCACCAGAUUUUAAGAAAAUCAAGAAACAACUAAUCUACCAAAUAGCAACAACCUAAAUCAAUUGAUACUAAAAAAAAAAACAUUUAGAUAAUUUUUCGGCUACAUACAACAUCCAAUCAACUACAUUUCUGCAGCAUCCAGAAGCAACAGAUGAGUUAUCAGUUAGUUAGCCACAUUAGGGAUUAACCAUCAAAUAUUUUCUUAGGUCCUUCCAUUUUCCAUUUGAAUGCUUAUAAAUUAUUACGCUGAAACAACACAUAAAUCACUUGAAAGCUUCAAAACAAACAAAAUCAAUUUUAAGCUAAUUUGAUGGAUGCACAUAAUUAGAUUUACAAAUCGAAAUGGCUGCCAUUUUUUAUCAAACACCUUUUGCUAAUUAGAACAAGGAACAUAAAAAAUGUACUCCUGUUAAUCUAAUGAAAUAAAUCUCACCGAAAAUUUGAGCCGGUCUCUGGUUUGCCUCGGAGGCUCCAGACAUGUUGGCGGUGACCGGAGAAGAAGAGGACGACAGCUACAAGAUACGGUUCUAGAGUUCGACUAGGGCGCUGAAGAUUGGGGUCGGGCGGGGCGGUGGGGGGUAAGGUGUCCGGGGAAGUCGGCAGGGAAGAGAGGUGAGUCGCUGGAUAGGGCGGCGCAGGGAGGAUGGUGAGAUGCAGUUGUGCUAGGGCACGAAGAAGAAAACU